GGAGUUGUGGCUAAGUGGUAGAGUGCUCGCCUAGCAUGUGUGAGGCCCUGGGUUCGAUCCUCAGCACCA
rnacentral:tRNA from 1 species